rnacentral:rRNA from 1 species
GCGAAGUCCGGGGAGGCAGGGGUGGUAAGACGUAGGGUGGAAGGGUUGAUCGGAUUGACUGGGCUUAAAGGGGGCGGAGGCGGUUAUUUAAGUCAGGUGUGAAAGCCCGCGGCUCAAGCGUGGGAGUGCCAUUGAAACUGAAGAGCUUGAGGAUAGUUGAAGUGGGCGGAAUACAUCAUGUAGCGGUGAAAUGCUUAGAUAUGAGGUAGAACACCGAUGGCGAAGGCAGCGCACUAAGCUGUAACUGACACUGAGGCACGAAAGCGUGGGUAGCGAACAGGAUUAGAUACCCUGGUAGUC